UUUCAAAUUAAUUUUUAACUAAACUUAGUUCAUGAAUAAAACAAAUUUAGCUUUAAUGUGUUAACUCUUUAACUUUAUUCAACCAACUUAUAAUUAAUUGAAUUGAUCUUAUUCAUUAACUUUUCUAGCUAAAUAAAUGAUGGUUAAAUAUAUAGGUACCUAUAGGCCAUGCAUUCUCGAGGAGCUUAUAUAUGCUUACAAGUACAUAUGUAUCCGGCAGAAUGUCUCAUUUAUGUAUUAAUAAACUAGAUAUUUGUGUCCGAUGCUGUUUAUUUUUUUUUUAUUUAUUACAUUCGAUUGUGGGUAUUUAAGUACAAUAUAUGAGUACAAAUAGAAAUAUCGUAAUAGUUUCUCACUUCUAAUUAUCGAAGUUUCCUUAUUUAUGAUUAGAUACCUAUAUUUUAACUAGACGUUUUACUUGAUGUAUAACACGAGUAGGUGCACUAACAGAAAAAAAAUGAAAUUUCCCCUUCUAUAUAAUGUUUUUAACAAUUAAAUAAGUUACUAUAAAUGUAUGCAUUUAAUGCAUAAUAUUUAAUGUUUUUUUUUUUUUUUAAUUUUAGACUUUUUACCAUUUUGUUUUAAUGUUUAAAAUUGUGUACCCGGGUAUUUUUUAUUAAUAUUAAACAAUUACUUUAUCCUUGAACGACACAGUUCAUCACGAAUAUUUCUACUCGACAACUUAUCCGUAAAUAUAUUAUCUGCACACUAUUAUCGACCUGUCGUGAUAUAAAUUUUAAUUUCAAUAGUUACUUCUAUAGUAUACUUAUUUCUUUCAGCAAUGUUUUCCAAAAAAAAAAAUUAAUACAUUCUUAUUGGAGUCUUUUAUUAUAAUUAUUAUACGUGUGAUUUAAAUUAACGGGAUUCUUUUUUAACUUGAGUUUCGUAUAUUAUAAUAAUAUAAUAUGGUUAAUGUAUUAGAUCAAAGCUUCAGUCACAGAAAUUUGAUAUGCAAGUAAUUGAAUGUCGUGUUGUAUACAACAUCAGCACGACAACCAGAAGUUACAUUGAAUGCCAACUGCUAACUCAUACAAAACAAAAAUAUGUGUAUUAUUAUAAAAACAUGAACAAAUAGUAUAAAAGAAAUGAAAACGUAAGCUAAGAUAAUGUGAAUAUAUUAUGGAGAUGAUAGAGAAAUGAACAUUAUAUUAUAAUAAAAAAUAAAUUUAGAACCACAUAAAGAUUCGAAAUUUUAAAAAAUGCCUAUAAAUUAUGUCAAAUUAAUUAUUAUUAAUAUUGUAGUGAAUAUAUUACUUGGUUUGAGAAAUGGGAAUGUUGAGAAAUGGUUUGAUUAAGUAACUGCAAUAUUAUGUGCCCUGUGAAUCUGAACAAAAUAUAUAAAAUACUAAUAACAUGUUUUGAAUUAAUAAGAAUAUUAUAUAAUUAUGUUUUAAAUUGUUUAUCAUUAAUUCAUUGUUAUUAAAGUUACCACUAAAUUAAUUUGAUUUAGUCGGUUUGAAAUUUUAAAUUACCAAAAUAUUAUUACAAUAGUUAUCUAGGACUAUUAUGUUAUUAUAAAAUAGUAUAUAAAAAGUAGAUAAUAUUAAUAUUAUUAUACGUAGAUCAUUGUUGUAACCGCU
rnacentral:lncRNA from 1 species